AGUGAACGCUGGCGGUAGGCCUAACACAUGCAAGUCGAACGGCAGCACAGUAAGAGCUUGCUCUUACGGGUGGCGAGUGGCGGACGGGUGAGGAAUACAUCGGGAUCUACUUUUUCGUGGGGGAUAACGUAGGGAAACUUACGCUAAUACCGCAUACGACCUACGGGUGAAGGCAGGGGAUCUUCGGACCUUGCGCGAUUGAAUGAGCCGAUGUCGGAUUAGCUAGUUGGCGGGGUAAAGGCCCACCAAGGCGACGAUCCGUAGCUGGUCUGAGAGGAUGAUCAGCCACACUGGAACUGAGACACGGUCCAGACUCCUACGGGAGGCAGCAGUGGGGAAUAUUGGACAAUGGGCGCAAGCCUGAUCCAGCCAUACCGCGUGGGUGAAGAAGGCCUUCGGGUUGUAAAGCCCUUUUGUUGGGAAAGAAAAGCAGCAGGUUAAUACCCCGCUGUUCUGACGGUACCCAAAGAAUAAGCACCGGCUAACUUCGUG
rnacentral:rRNA from 1 species